CAUGUUGGGGGCGGGGGUUGAAUUUAACUGUGUGCCUUACAAGUAAUGAAAUUGCCACAGCGAAAGGUGUGGUUUCCACAAGGCUGACAUUCCCUCACCCACCAGCAUUAACUCCAGUGCCUCCCUCAGGAGGGGAGGGGAUCUCUUCCUCUGUUGUAGAUUUUUCCCCUCUCUGAACUGUAAGUGAAAAGGAAAACUAUAAAAUCAAGAGGCUGUAUGUCCCCCUGAGACGUUUAAAUUUAAGCUGGACCAAGCACUACCAGUGUAUCACAGGCAACAAUUUCACCCUGGCAGGGAAGUGGACUAAGUGACUUAAUGGGUAUUUUCCAUCUCUAAUUUCCAUGAUUAAAAGAAAGAGGUUGAGAGGGGUACAUGUGGAGCCUAUUGUGAGUUUGCCAAUGAAUCCUAAUUUAGAUCAAAGAGAGUCUAUGUGACACUGAACCAUAAACACCCUAGUGUGCGUUACUUCAAGGAAGUUGUUAGUGUGUCCCCGAUGGCUAUUAUGUGAUAUAGUUGCACUCUAUAGCCUGCACCCUUUAAUUACUAAUAUAGAAGAAAAUCCCAUAUGAGAGGAAGGAAUGUAAAUGAGACCUCUGCUCUUUUGAACAUUUUAUGCAUUUGCCAAAUGAAAAUUUGCUGUGGACUUUGGUUUUCCCUGAUCGCUGUUGGUAGUGAUCAUUUGGCUCAUGGGAUUAAACCCGAAUUUCCAAAAACGAUUUCUGAUCAGUGCACAGGUUUUAGAUCUUUAUGUUUGCUUUGCACUGAGACAUGGAUCAUCAGAACCAGAUUGGGAACGUCUUUGAAGUUUUCAAAGCAACUGGCCAUUGUAAGCACCACCAGGGCACUGAAUCCUCUAAACAACCCUACAAAGAGGAAUGCUUCUCAUCAUUUUAGAGGAACCACCCCUCAUCUACACUAAUCCUCGUGGUUUAGGUGGGACAGUCACCACCACCCCCACCACCGUCUCAGGAGUGGACAUGUAUCCCAGGCCUGACUAGUCAGGUUGAUCCACUCCCCUGGCUGCAGCAAAUGGAUCACGGAUGAACACAGAACCCAGCCUGUUUUAAACAGGUUUUUAAAAAAUAUAGAGGGUAAAAGUCAAGGGUCAUUGAAGGUUACUGAACAAUUGGGCAGGAGGAGAAGAGCAGCUGAGGCCUGAAAAUAUGAGCUCCUGGAUCAAAUUAUGACUAAAGCUAACCACUCCAAGACUUUUUGGCUGUUUCUGGACAAGGAUGCAAAUAAAUAUAUUUU